UUCUGAAAAGCUAUUCUUGGAAAGGGUUGCAAUUAAUGUGUUUAAGAUCGACAUGCUGCUGGCUAGACAUUUUUUAACCCAGAAAUCUUAAACUUAUCAUCAAACCCAAACCCAAGUUCUGUAAGACCCAUUUUUCCUUGAUAGAUAUCCAGUAAUUGGGGCACAUGUUCUUGAUACUUGAUCACAAACCUUGCAAAGAAUAGCUUUUCAAAAGCCAUAAACACUGAGGAUAAAUGGAUGUCUCCCUGAAUCAAACCCUUUAAAAGCAAAACUCUUA
rnacentral:misc_RNA from 1 species